GAGUGUGUAGUUCAGUGGUAGAACGCUGUCCUGAUAAGACAGAGGUCGAUGGUCCGAUUCCAUCCACACUCACCA
rnacentral:tRNA from 2 species